GCAAGGCAGACGGCUCAGUAACACGUAGUCAAUCUAACCUAUGGACAGGGAUAAUCUCGGGAAACUGAGCAUAAUACCUGAUAGAUCAUUAUGCCUGGAACGGUUAAUGGUUGAAAUGAAUUUCGCCAUAUGAUGGUACUGUGGCCUAUCAGCUUGUCGGUGAGGUAAUGGCCCACCAAGGCUAUUACAGGUACGGGCUCUGAGAGGAGAAGCCCGGAGAUGGGUACUGAGACACGGACCCAGGUCCUAUGGGGCGCAGCAGGCGAGAAAACUUUGCAAUGUGCGAAAGCACGACAAGGUUAAUCCGAGUGUUUCCUGCUAAAGGAAUCUUUUGUUAGUCAUAAAACCACUAUUGAAUAAGGGGUGGGCAAGUUCUGGUGUCAGCCGCCGCGGUAAAACCAGCACCUCAAGUGGUCAGGAGGUUUAUUGGGCCUAAAGCAUCCGUAGCCUGAUCUAUAAGUUUCCGGUUAAAUCCAAAUGCUCAACAUUUGGGCUGCCGGAAAAACUGUAGAUCUAGGGAGUGGGAGAGGUAGACGGUACUCGGUAGGAAGGGGUAAAAUCCUUUGAUCUAUUGAUGACCACCAGUGGCGAAGGCGGUCUACCAGAACACGUUCGACGGUGAGGGAUGAAAGCUGGGGGAGCAAACCGGAUUAGAUACCCGGGUAGUCCCAGCUGUAAACGAUGCAGACUCGGUGAUGCAUUGGCUUGUGGCCAGUGCAGUGCCGCAGGGAAGCCGUUAAGUUUGCCGCCUGGGAAGUACGUACGCAAGUGUGAAACUUAAAGGAAUUGGCGGGGGAGCACCACAAGGGGUGAAGCCUGCGGUUCAAUUGGAGUCAACGCCAGAAAUCUUACCCGGAGAGACAGCAGAAUGAAGGUCAAGCUGAAGACUUUACCAGACAAGCUGAGAGGUGGUGCAUGGCCGUCGCCAGCUCGUGCCGUGAGAUGUCCUGUUAAGUCAGGUAACGAGCGAGACCCUUGCCUCUAGUUGCUACCAUUGCUCUCUGGAGCAGUGGGGCGAAUUAGCGGGACCGCCGCAGUUAAUGCGGAGGAAGGAAAGGGCUACGGCAGGUCAGUAUGCCCCGAAACUCUGGGGCCACACGCGGGCUGCAAUGGUAACGACAUGUGUUCCAAC
rnacentral:rRNA from 1 species